UGGGGAAUAUUGCACAAUGGGCGCAAGCCUGAUGCAGCAACGCCGCGUGAACGAUGAAGGUCUUCGGAUCGUAAAGUUCUGUUGCAGGGGAAGAUAAUGACGGUACCCUGUGAGGAAGCCCCGGCUAACUACGUGCCAGCAGCCGCGGUAAUACGUAGGGGGCUAGCGUUGUCCGGAAUUAUUGGGCGUAAAGGGCUUGUAGGCGGUUGGCCGCGUCUGCCGUGAAAUCCUCUGGCUUAACUGGGGGCGUGCGGUGGGUACGGGUUGACUUGAGUGCGGUAGGGGAGACUGGAAUUCCUGGUGUAGCGGUGGAAUGCGCAGAUAUCAGGAGGAACACCGGUGGCGAAGGCGGGUCUCUGGGCCGUUACUGACGCUGAGGAGCGAAAGCGUGGGGAGCGAACAGG
rnacentral:rRNA from 1 species